rnacentral:rRNA from 1 species
AUUGAACGCUGGCGGAAUGCUUUACACAUGCAAGUCGAACGGCAGCACGGGGGCAACCCUGGUGGCGAGUGGCGAACGGGUGAGUAAUACAUCGGAACGUGCCCAGUCGUGGGGGAUAACGUAGCGAAAGCUACGCUAAUACCGCAUACGAACUCUGGUUGAAAGCGGGGGAUCGCAAGACCUCGCGCGAUUGGAGCGGCCGAUGGCAGAUUAGGUAGUUGGUGGGGUAAAGGCUCACCAAGCCGACGAUCUGUAGCUGGUCUGAGAGGACGACCAGCCACACUGGGACUGAGACACGGCCCAGACUCCUACGGGAGGCAGCAGUGGGGAAUUUUGGACAAUGGGCGCAAGCCUGAUCCAGCCAUUCCGCGUGCAGGAUGAAGGCCCUCGGGUUGUAAACUGCUUUUGUACGGAACGAAACGGCUCUCUCUAAUACAGGGGGCUAAUGACGGUACCGUAAGAAUAAGCACCGGCUAACUACGUGCCAGCCGCCGCAGUAAAAC